rnacentral:rRNA from 1 species
GGUUAAGCGACUAAGCGUACACGGUGGAUGCCCUGGCAGUCAGAGGCGAUGAAGGACGUGCUAAUCUGCGAUAAGCGUCGGUAAGGUGAUAUGAACCGUUAUAACCGGCGAUUUCCGAAUGGGGAAACCCAGUGUGAUUCGUCACACUAUCAUUAACUGAAUCCAUAGGUUAAUGAGGCGAACCGGGGGAACUGAAACAUCUAAGUACCCCGAGGAAAAGAAAUCAACCGAGAUUCCCCCAGUAGCGGCGAGCGAACGGGGAGGAGCCCAGAGCCUGAAUCAGUGUGUGUGUUAGUGGAAGCGUCUGGAAAGGCGCGCGAUACAGGGUGACAGCCCCGUACACAAAAAUGCACAUAUUGUGAGCUCGAUGAGUAGGGCGGGACACGUGGUAUCCUGUCUGAAUAUGGGGGGACCAUCCUCCAAGGCUAAAUACUCCUGACUGACCGAUAGUGAACCAGUACCGUGAGGGAAAGGCGAAAAGAACCCCGGCGAGGGGAGUGAAAAAGAACCUGAAACCGUGUACGUACAAGCAGUGGGAGCACGCUUAGGCGUGUGACUGCGUACCUUUUGUAUAAUGGGUCAGCGACUUAUAUUCUGUAGCAAGGUUAACCGAAUAGGGGAGCCGAAGGGAAACCGAGUCUUAACUGGGCGUUAAGUUGCAGGGUAUAGACCCGAAACCCGGUGAUCUAGCCAUGGGCAGGUUGAAGGUUGGGUAACACUAACUGGAGGACCGAACCGACUAAUGUUGAAAAAUUAGCGGAUGACUUGUGGCUGGGGGUGAAAGGCCAAUCAAACCGGGAGAUAGCUGGUUCUCCCCGAAAGCUAUUUAGGUAGCGCCUCGUGAAUUCAUCUCCGGGGGUAGAGCACUGUUUCGGCAAGGGGGUCAUCCCGACUUACCAACCCGAUGCAAACUGCGAAUACCGGAGAAUGUUAUCACGGGAGACACACGGCGGGUGCUAACGUCCGUCGUGAAGAGGGAAACAACCCAGACCGCCAGCUAAGGUCCCAAAGUCAUGGUUAAGUGGGAAACGAUGUGGGAAGGCCCAGACAGCCAGGAUGUUGGCUUAGAAGCAGCCAUCAUUUAAAGAAAGCGUAAUAGCUCACUGGUCGAGUCGGCCUGCGCGGAAGAUGUAACGGGGCUAAACCAUGCACCGAAGCUGCGGCAGCGACGCUGAUGCGUUGUUGGGUAGGGGAGCGUUCUGUAAGCCUGCGAAGGUGUGCUGUGAGGCAUGCUGGAGGUAUCAGAAGUGCGAAUGCUGACAUAAGUAACGAUAAAGCGGGUGAAAAGCCCGCUCGCCGGAAGACCAAGGGUUCCUGUCCAACGUUAAUCGGGGCAGGGUGAGUCGACCCCUAAGGCGAGGCCGAAAGGCGUAGUCGAUGGGAAACAGGUUAAUAUUCCUGUACUUGGUGUUACUGCGAAGGGGGGACGGAGAAGGCUAUGUUGGCCGGGCGACGGUUGUCCCGGUUUAAGCGUGUAGGCUGGUUUUCCAGGCAAAUCCGGAAAAUCAAGGCUGAGGCGUGAUGACGAGGCACUACGGUGCUGAAGCAACAAAUGCCCUGCUUCCAGGAAAAGCCUCUAAGCAUCAGGUAACAUCAAAUCGUACCCCAAACCGACACAGGUGGUCAGGUAGAGAAUACCAAGGCGCUUGAGAGAACUCGGGUGAAGGAACUAGGCAAAAUGGUGCCGUAACUUCGGGAGAAGGCACGCUGAUAUGUAGGUGAAGUCCCUCGCGGAUGGAGCUGAAAUCAGUCGAAGAUACCAGCUGGCUGCAACUGUUUAUUAAAAACACAGCACUGUGCAAACACGAAAGUGGACGUAUACGGUGUGACGCCUGCCCGGUGCCGGAAGGUUAAUUGAUGGGGUUAGCCGCAAGGCGAAGCUCUUGAUCGAAGCCCCGGUAAACGGCGGCCGUAACUAUAACGGUCCUAAGGUAGCGAAAUUCCUUGUCGGGUAAGUUCCGACCUGCACGAAUGGCGUAAUGAUGGCCAGGCUGUCUCCACCCGAGACUCAGUGAAAUUGAACUCGCUGUGAAGAUGCAGUGUACCCGCGGCAAGACGGAAAGACCCCGUGAACCUUUACUAUAGCUUGACACUGAACAUUGAGCCUUGAUGUGUAGGAUAGGUGGGAGGCUUUGAAGUGUGGACGCCAGUCUGCAUGGAGCCGACCUUGAAAUACCACCCUUUAAUGUUUGAUGUUCUAACGUUGACCCGUAAUCCGGGUUGCGGACAGUGUCUGGUGGGUAGUUUGACUGGGGCGGUCUCCUCCUAAAGAGUAACGGAGGAGCACGAAGGUUGGCUAAUCCUGGUCGGACAUCAGGAGGUUAGUGCAAUGGCAUAAGCCAGCUUGACUGCGAGCGUGACGGCGCGAGCAGGUGCGAAAGCAGGUCAUAGUGAUCCGGUGGUUCUGAAUGGAAGGGCCAUCGCUCAACGGAUAAAAGGUACUCCGGGGAUAACAGGCUGAUACCGCCCAAGAGUUCAUAUCGACGGCGGUGUUUGGCACCUCGAUGUCGGCUCAUCACAUCCUGGGGCUGAAGUAGGUCCCAAGGGUAUGGCUGUUCGCCAUUUAAAGUGGUACGCGAGCUGGGUUUAGAACGUCGUGAGACAGUUCGGUCCCUAUCUGCCGUGGGCGCUGGAGAACUGAGGGGGGCUGCUCCUAGUACGAGAGGACCGGAGUGGACGCAUCACUGGUGUUCGGGUUGUCAUGCCAAUGGCACUGCCCGGUAGCUAAAUGCGGAAGAGAUAAGUGCUGAAAGCAUCUAAGCACGAAACUUGCCCCGAGAUGAGUUCUCCCUGACUCCUUGAGAGUCCUGAAGGAACGUUGAAGACGACGACGUUGAUAGGCCGGGUGUGUAAGCGCAGCGAUGCGUUGAGCUAACCGGUACUAAUGAACCGUGAGGCUUAACCUU